rnacentral:rRNA from 1 species
UACGAAGGGUGCAAACGUUGCUCGGAAUUAUUGGGCGUAAAGCGCACGUAGGCGGCUCUGCAAGUCGGAUGUGAAAUCCCUCGGCUCAACCAAGGAAGUGCAUCCGAAACUGCGGAGCUUGAGUACUUAAGAGGAUCGCGGAAUUCCCGGUGUAGAGGUGAAAUUCGUAGAUAUCGGGAGGAACACCAGUGGCGAAGGCGGCGAUCUGGGGAGAUACUGACGCUGAGGUGCGAAAGCGUGGGGAGCAAACAGG